CAACUUACAACAACGGAUCUCUUGGCUCUCGCAUCGAUGAAGAACGCAGCGAAAUGCGAUAAGUAAUGUGAAUUGCAGAAUUCAGUGAAUCAUCGAAUCUUUGAACGCACCUUGCGCCCUUUGGUAUUCCGAAGGGCACACCUGUUUGAGUGUCGUGA
rnacentral:rRNA from 1 species